rnacentral:lncRNA from 1 species
CGUGACCCGGCGCUGCCGAUCCGCCCCGCCCCGCGCCCCCGUGAUGUCAUCGGCGGCGGCCCGUGGCGGCGCACGUGGGCGCUGACGUCGUGGUGGGGCCGGCGGGCGGGACGGCGGCAGGUGAGGGCGAGGGGGGUGGCCGGGCCCGGCCCGAGUGGGGCGGCGGGCAGCAGGAGGGGUCUGGGCGGGCCGGAGCACGGCGCGGUUCCCUCAGCCGCCCUCGCCGGGCCCUGUCAGCCGCGGCCUGUGGAGGCCGGAAGGUCCGCAGCGAAGGUCCCACAUCUCUGCCUGGAGCCGGCCUGUGCCCCGGGGGCUGACUGGUGUGUAGUGUAUAGAUCGUGUACCACGGGCACCUUGGGGGCUCUGCUGCUUCCGUCUCCCCGCAGCGGCACUGCUGUGUUGCUGCUGCUCGGCCUUAGCGUUUCCUUCUGUAAAACGAGGAGUGGUCUCUCAGAGCGGUUGCAGAAACAAAUCGAUGUAAAAAUACACAGGAUUCAAUCACGAGGCCCAGCAGGCCUCGCUCGCAGUGCAGCGGCCGCCUUGGCACUGGAUUGCAGCCCGAGCGCGUUUUCAGCUCUGUGCUGGGGGAUGAGAGCGCUUUAUGGGGGGCGAAGGUUGUGCUGCGUUUCACUUCUGCCCUUUGCUUUCUCAGGCACAUUUCCAAGGCCGAGCAAGUUGCCGAAUGGUGUUUGGUGUGAGGGAAAGCAAGAGGAGUCCAGACGUGGGGAGCAGUGUGGGCAGUUUCAGGUGGGAAGAUGAGUCCAAAAAUUACAACAGAACUGCUGAAGCAAUUGCGGCAGGUCAUGAAGAGUCCCAGGUAUGUCCAGGAGCCUGUGCAAGCCUACAUAGUGCCCUCUGGAGAUGCCCACCAGGUAUGGAUGGAUGAAUUACGGGAAUGAUUUUACUUAGAAAAGAAAAGAAAAGCAAGCCGGGGAUGACAGAAAUCAUCCUUCAUUCACUAACUUUCAUGGUUCUAGCAUAACAGCCUGAGUAACCCGAGAACCAUUGUGUUGGAAAAAGUUUCUGGAAUCUAUUCAAGAGACUGAAGUUUUUAUGUUCUUGUAACAAAUCAGUGUGGAUGUUCCACCAGCAAUUUCUCAUCAUGUUGUCUCCAGGGAGAAAAGAGAGCUUGCCAGAGCACUUGCUGUCCCCAUCCCGACUGUUGGAAAGUAUGGAUUUAUGUGGGGAGGAAAAAGCAUUAUCUGGGCUUUAGUUUCCCCAUUAGCACCUCCCGAAUAAGACAUCCUCUUGUGUCUGGUGGUUGCAGAGCUUUCCCUUUGCUAGAUCCAGUUC